rnacentral:rRNA from 1 species
CAACGCGAAGAACCUUACCAGGUCUUGACAUCCUUUGACCACUCUAGAGAUAGAGCUUUCCCUUCGGGGACAAAGUGACAGGUGGUGCAUGGUUGUCGUCAGCUCGUGUCGUGAGAUGUUGGGUUAAGUCCCGCAACGAGCGCAACCCUUAUUACUAGUUGCCAGCAUUUAGUUGGGCACUCUAGUGAGACUGCCGGUGACAAACCGGAGGAAGGUGGGGAUGACGUCAAAUCAUCAUGCCCCUUAUGACCUGGGCUACACACGUGCUACAAUGGAUGGUACAACGAGUCGCAAGGUCGCGAGGCCAAGCUAAUCUCUUAAAGCCAUUCUCAGUUCGGAUUGUAGGCUGCAACUCGCCUACAUGAAGCCGGAAUCGCUAGUAAUCGCGGAUCAGAACGCCGCGGUGAAUACGUUCCCGGGUCUUGUACACACCGCCCGUCACACCACGAGAGUUUGUAACACCCGAAGCCGGUGAGGUAACCUUUUAGGAGCCAGCCGUCUAAGGUGGGAUAGAUAAUUGGGGUGAAGUCGUAAC